GUCGAGAAUUUUUCACAAUGGGCGCAAGCCUGAUGGAGCGACGCCGCGUGGGGGAUGAAUGGCUUCGGCCCGUAAACCCCUGUCAUUUGCGAACAAACCUUUCGGCCUAACAUGCCGAAAGCUGAUUGUAGCGGAAGAGGAAGGGACGGCUAACUCUGUGCCAGCAGCCGCGGUAAUACAGAGGUCCCAAGCGUUGUUCGGAUUCACUGGGCGUAAAGGGUGCGUAGGCGGUCGGAUAAGUCUAAUGUGAAAUCUUCGAGCUCAACUCGGAAACUGCAUCGGAAACUAUCUGGCUAGAGGAUUGGAGGGGAGACUGGAAUUCUCGGUGUAGCAGUGAAAUGCGUAGAUAUCGAGAGGAACACCAGUGGCGAAGGCGAGUCUCUGGACAAUUCCUGACGCUGAGGCACGAAAGCUAGGGGAGCAAACAGGAUUAGAUACCCGAGUAGUCC
rnacentral:rRNA from 1 species